GACGAACGCUGGCGGCGUGCUUAACACAUGCAAGUCGAACGGAAAGGCCCUGCUUUUGUGGGGUGCUCGAGUGGCGAACGGGUGAGUAACACGUGAGUAACCUGCCCUUGACUUUGGGAUAACUUCAGGAAACUGGGGCUAAUACCGGAUAGGAGCUCCUGCUGCAUGGUGGGGGUUGGAAAGUUUCGGCGGUUGGGGAUGGACUCGCGGCUUAUCAGCUUGUUGGUGGGGUAGUGGCUUACCAAGGCUUUGACGGGUAGCCGGCCUGAGAGGGUGACCGGCAACAGUGGGACUGAGAUACGGCCCAGACUCAUACGGGAGGCAGCAGUGGGGAAUAUUGCACAAUGGGCGGAAGCCUGAUGCAGCAACGCCGAGUGCGGGAUGACGGCCUUCGGGUUGUAAACCGCUUUCGCCUGUGACGAAGCGUGAGUGACGGUAAUGGGUAAAGAAGCACCGGCUAACUACGUG
rnacentral:rRNA from 1 species